CGGCGGUAGUUGCGCCGCGGACCAUCGCGUGUCGGAUCAGCUGUGAACUGGCAACCCGAGUCAGCUGACUGGCCGCGGCCCCUCCGCUGCGACAAUCGAUAUCCCGCUCUGCCCUCGUGCUCAGUCCUACCCGUGGCUGCGUUUUCCCCUUUCGAGAUACACAUCGUCCACCCCCUCGGUGCUAGUGAAUCUUCCUUUUGCGAAUCGACUUAUCACCACCCACUCGUUCGAAGAUAACAAGAAGCAUCACGCGUGUGAAUUCCUUAACCUUUUCAAGGAAAGUGUACCAAGGAAUUCCGAUCACUGGGGAAAAACGCAGAAUGGCGAAGGGUUCUUUCUGGCUAUAACGCAAUUCAAGGAUUUCCGAGAUGAGAAUUUAGCGGAAAAUUCGUCGUGAAAGAAUCAUUGCCGAAUGGGAACAGACGGAUUUAUCGCAGUGAAAUAUAAUCUUUCAUUGCUGUCUACCUAUUUGAAUGGAUCGUCAAGAAUACCGAAUUCGCAUACUCUUCCUGCUAUUGUCGGUCAAUUGUGACGGCCACGUGUUCCAAGGUUGGAACGAAACAGAAUUGCUGCAAGGACAAGGGACAAGACUGUAAACAAUAAAGUCUUGGAAGACGCUUUUCAAGCGGCGUUAAGAUUCCGAAAGGAUACCGAAGUGUUUUCCGAGAUGGCUGUCUGGUCUGUGUGAAAAAAUGUAAGGAUUCGCGCGGGGGCGGACCUGGCGUUUCCAGGAUCGUAGAAAUCGUAAAGGACGAUCAAGGUCACCGUGGGGAAACCGUGAUUUCUCUAUGUCGAGACACCGUCGCCCAUCUAACAGAUGCAAUUAGUCGUAUGAUGCGAUAUGUGUGUUCACGGUUGAUCAAGAUAUCUAUAAAACGACCAAUCAAAUGGAACCAUCGGGCUCUAUUAACUGAAAGGACGCUGGAAUAAGAAGGUAGCAAGAACUCCACUUUCCAGUAAUGUGAGUAAAAUGAUAAAAUCAAUGAAAACCAAAUGACUUUUUAAAAUGUGCUAUAAAUUCGUAGUCAAUUAACAUUCGUAGUGACAAGUGUUUAGAAUAUGAAAUCUAAACCUACCUUUCUUUCUCUUCCAGUAAAUAUCCGCGAUUUAAAUAUUGGAAUAAUUUCCCCAUUACAGUAAACCGUACAAUUCGAAUUAUCAUAAUUAUACAAAAAGAAAUUGACGUAUAAGGUAUUUCACUAGCGAAUUCAAAA